GUGAUCAUAGUAUAGGUGGUCAGUACACCGCGUUGUGGAUAACAUUCCGAUUUGGAAAUUCCCACAUUCGCCUACCCGCGGCGACCUGAGUUCGAGUCUCAGUGAUCACA